UCUGUUUCUUACCCUCCAAAAAUUAACCCAAUACAAACUCCUUACUUUUCGUUUCUUCAAUAUCAAUAUGGCCUCCAUUCCCAGGCCUCACGGAGCCGCUCAACUCGGAUCCGGCGGCAAAUUAGUCCGACCCAGGCGGACCACUGCUCCCAGGACUCCCUACGAGCGUCCUCUUCGAUUGCUUCCCAAUUCGGCUUCCCAAAACCCUAAUUGGCUCUCCAGUCUCAUUUUAUCUCCUACUCGUAUGAUUGCUACCGGUGCCGGCAAAGUUCUUUCCUCUGUCUUCGGCCCCGUCUCCUCCUCUUCCUCCUCUUCGUCUUCCGGUGGCGAUUUCACUUCAGAGGAUGAUGCAGAUGAUGCCAAUGAUGAUAAUGUUAUCACUUCUCAGGACGCUACCAAAUUGGAAAAGACAUUUGAAAAGAAAAAUUCCUUGAGGAAAGAUACCCAAGCUAUAGAGUGGAAGAGUGAAACAAAGCGUGCAAUUGAACAACUUCUCAUGCAGGAAACAUUCUCAAGGGAAGAAUGUGAUAGAUUAACGCAUAUUAUUAAAUCAAGAGUUGUAGAUUCUUCCAUCACUGGAGACCUAGAUGGGAGACUAAAUGAGAUACCUGGCAGGACAGUUUGCAGCGAUGUUGAUAUGCGUGAUAUCCGCAGUACAGCCAUUACAGAGGCUAAAAAAUGGCUAGAGGAGAAGAAAUUGGGGUCAAAUUCAAAGUCAGAAUUGGUGUAUGGAACCUGCACUUUG
rnacentral:misc_RNA from 1 species